GCGGUCAGUGCCAGCCCCCUCAACCAGCACAUCUGCAGGCUCAGCUCCCCAGCCUGCCUCGGACACGACGGAGGUCGCCUCCGUGGACUGCACCGCCACCUCCCCCGCCCGCCACUCACGGAGCCUCCUGAUGGGCAGCCGCACCUCGGACAGCUCCGACCAGGGUGGAAAACCCCCGGCAGCUCAGCUCCAGCUCCAGCUGCGGCCCCCACCUCGGCUCCAGGCCAGCGAGCCUUGGGAAGCGCCACACCUCUCCACCCCUCCCCCCAGUCAGGAGAAAUCUGCCUCUCCAAGCAGGUCCCAUGCUAGACAACUGAAUUACUCACCAUAUGUUCCUGCCGGCUUUCCAGUUGCUGCCCCAGUGGUGGAGCUGAGAGCCUGUGAUUCCGUUGGUGGGCUGGCUAACGGACUCUGACGCCAGAAGAGGUUCGGGCCCACACAAGCGGUGGCCGCUGACGCAGGGACCCUGUCCCCACACGUAACAACCUUUGACUCAGAAGCCUGCUGUGCAGGCGCCGAAUCCCGAUGACAUGCGCUCUUUAGGCUUUCUUCUGUAGGUCAAAGGUAAAAGAGACGGUUUGACAAGGACUGAUGUGGCUCUUGGUGAAUGCUCUGGCCCACAAGGUAAGCCAGUUUAUGGGCAUAGUGACAAGGAGCAGGAACUCGGAUGAUACCCUUUAGUUUAAAGGAGAAAAAAAAAAUUUUUUUAACGUCAUAUCUACUUUCCCUAAAUUUCAAUGUUCAUAGAUAUGAAUUCAAGGUUCAAAAAGUCUAAAUUCAAUGUUGACCAAGUUCACAGAUCUGAAGGAAAAUCGGUAUCAAA